rnacentral:rRNA from 1 species
CGGACGGGUGAGUAAUGUCUGGGGAUCUGCCUGAUGGCGGGGGAUAACUACUGGAAACGGUAGCUAAUACCGCAUAAUGUCUACGGACCAAAGCGGGGGACCUCCGGGCCUCGCGCCAUCAGAUGAACCCAUAUGGGAUUAGCUUGUAGGUAAGGUAACGGCUUACCUAGGCGACGAUCCCUAGCUGGUCUGAGAGGAUGACCAGCCACACUGGAACUGAGACACGGUCCAG